rnacentral:rRNA from 1 species
CAGGACGAACGCUGGCGGCAUGCUUAACACAUGCAAGUCGAACGGUAAGGCCCUUCGGGGUACACGAGUGGCGAACGGGUGAGUAACACGUGGGUAAUCUGCCCUGCACAUCGGGAUAAGCCUGGGAAACUGGGUCUAAUACCGAAUAGGGCCACAGAACACAUGUCCUGUGGUGGAAAGCUUUUGCGGUGUGGGAUGGGCCCGCGGCCUAUCAGCUUGUUGGUGGGGUGAUGGCCCACCAAGGCGACGACGGGUAGCCGGCCUGAGAGGGUGUCCGGCCACACUGGGACUGAGAUACGGCCCAGACUCCUACGGGAGGCAGCAGAAGGG